CGGGCUUGAAUUGCAGGAGAACGAUACAGAGAUGUUGAGGUCCUUCGGGACUCCUGUGAAGGUGCUGCAUGGUUGUCGUCAGCUCGUGCCGUGAGGUGUCGGCUUAAGUGCCAUAACGAGCGCAACCCCUCUCCUUAGUUGCCAUCAGGUUAUGCUGGGCACUCUGGGGACACUGCCACCGUAAGGUGUGAGGAAGGUGGGGAUGACGUCAAAUCAGCACGGCCCUUACGUCCGGGGCUACACACGUGUUACAAUGGCCGGUACAGAGCGUUGGUGUCAUGCAAAUGACAUCUAAUCUUUAAAGCCGGUCCCAGUUCGGACUGGGGUCUGCAACCCGACCCCACGAAGCUGGAUUCGCUAGUAAUCGCGCAUCAGCCAUGGCGCGGUGAAUACGUUCCCGGGCC
rnacentral:rRNA from 1 species